UCAGAGGAACUGCGGGUAUAGGCCAGCGGCUCCGCCGGGUCCUCAGAAUUGGACGGCCGCUGAAGCGACCGGCCGACCGAAGGGCAGGAGACAAGAUUCCGGAAGCACAACAGGUCUGGCGCUGGGGCGGCCGGGCUUGGGCCCCGGGCAUCCGCAGUCUGCAGCCCGAUGACUCCAGACGGGCCCCUGCUGGCGGUGCAGGCGGCCCUGAAGAAGUGCUUUCCUGUGGUGGAGGAGCAGCAGCGCCUGUGGCGGAGCAGCCUGAGCGACUGCCCGCCGCUCCUGGCCUCCCUCGGCAACCUGGCCGAGCAGCUGCGGGCGGCGCAGAACCUGCGCUUUGAGGACGUGCCGGCGCUGCGGGCCUUCCCGGGUUUGCAGGAGCGGCUGAGGCGCAAGCAGCUGGAGGCCGGGGACGCGGUCCUGGACCAGCUCGGAGAGCGGCUAGCGGCCCUCCUCAAGGUGCGUGACACUGUCAGCAGCCACGUGAGACAAGUGCUGCAGAUCUAUGAGCAGCAUGCAGACGCAAUCGGCAUUGACGCUGUCCUGCAGGCUUCGGCGGCGAGCCCCUCUGUGGCUGACAUGUUGGAAUGGCUACAAGAUAUUGAGAGACAUUAUCAAAGUUCGUAUCCUUUGCACACAUUUCAAAUAGAAGGUACCUGAAGAGAAAGUACCUCCUGUCCUCAAUCGAUUGGGGAGACUUGGCAGGGAUCCAAGCUUUGCCCACAGCCUGGGACCGGAUUUCGGAAGAUGAACACCAAGACUUGGUACCAGCUUGGGCUGGACUUACAGGUUUGCUUCUAGGGAAUAGAAUACUGCAGACAUGGUGGGAUGCCACUUCUGAAACUAAAUUAUGAAAAAGACUGCACCUUCCGUCUUGGGUGUCUCCCACUCUCUUGGAUCACUCAUCCUGGGGGAAGUCAGCAGCGAUGCUGGGGGCAACCUGUGGAGAGCCCGGGUGAGAGACUGCAGCCUGCCAGCAACCACCGGAGGGAGCUUGGAAGCAGAUCCUCUCCCUCAGGUGAGACCACAGCCCCUGCUAACUGCUUGACCACAGCCUCAUGAGGACCUACGCCAGAGGCAGCAGAGGCAAGCCGCUAAGCUGUGCCCAGAUGCCUGACCCAUGGAAACAUAAUAAAGGUCUCAAGUCAUUCUGUUUUGGGUUCCACAGCAAUAGUUAGCGAAUACAACGAGCAAGUAUGUGUGUGUCUUCUCCAUAAUUUUACACAAAUAGUCAAAUAUAGAUCCAGUUUCGUGCCUUGUUUUUUCUAAAGCAGUUGCAGAGUUUUCUGUUGUGUGGGCUUACCGUAAUUUAUUUCACUAGCCCCUGCCUCAUGGACGAGUAGGCUGUCUGAAGUCUCAGUAUCGGUUAGGUAUCAGCACCCUCCCUCCACUCCCACCCCUGCUCGGGAUGCUUUUCUUCAAUUAGCUGGUCCCAUCCCACCCACUCAGCCCCAGUAAAAAAGAAUUCUGUUGGUAUUUUUACUGGAAUCCUAUUACAUUUAGAAACUGAUUUAGGGAGAAUCAUCAUAGUGGGAGUAACACUCCUCCAGCCGUGCCACUGGCUUUGGGUUGAGAUAGCAAAUGUGAGUUCUUUGCUGUUUCCCUCAGUUGGGAAAAUAGGCUCUGAGUUCAGAACACAUUCCCUGUCAGUGAGACAGUCUGUUGGGAUGACAUGAAUUCAGGUUUCUUUCCUUCCUGUCUCUACCCCAUCCCCAUUUAGACAUCAACCUCAAGACUGUUCUCUCAGGCAGAGUAGGGGUUUUUCAGAGUCAGUGGGAUCCUAGCUCAGAGGAGGACUUCUCCCCGCCCAAGCAGAGUCCAGGCUUUAUAGUGAUUGUAUCAUGUUCGAUUUUAAUCUGGAUGAUAGGGGCUGGGAACCAUCUGCGACUUGUUCAAGCAUUAGGUGUUAAUAAUUCCUUCUUCCCAUGGAGGAGCAGGCUCAGGGGUGAGGGUGCAUUGAUAAUCAGCUCGGGGAAGGCCUGCUGAAUGGCAAGUGACCCAGACCUGCAUUCAAGUCUCAGCUCAAGUGACCUGGGGUGAGUCAUUUCCCAUCCAAGUUUCGGUUUCUUCAUCUGUAUAAUGGAGAUGAUGAUAUACGUCCUCACAGGGUUGUACGUUUUAAGUGAGAGGAGGUAUGUGAGGACUUUCGGUGAAUUUAUAAACAUGGUCAUGUACCAAGUGCAUAGCUCCGCUGUGGAACCGGUAUGCUUGCGAGACGGUGUUUUCCGAGUGCGCAUAGCUUGUCAGUGACUUGGCAGAAUUUGCACCAGGGUUUUGUGGGUUCUGGUGAGGGGUCUUUCCCUUGCACCACUGUUUCCUCCUUGCCACAGAGGCAAAAGCAUCCCUGACACCUCCUCAGCGGGACAAGAGUUGGGUUUCCUGAACACCCAGCCCUGCACGGGACAUGGUUCCUCCAAACAGCAGAGGUAAGUGCAGUGCUGCCCCAUCUGGCGUGCCAGUGGCACAGGGCAUCCAAGGCGCUGGGCAGCUGCAACCUUGCCAGUUACCCUCCCUUCUGGUCCCCCAGCCGGGAGGGCUGGAGUGAAUCCUGGGGCUGCCUGCCAGAGUCUUACACUUUUGCUCUUUAUGCGA